rnacentral:pre_miRNA from 1 species
AGGAGGAACAGCCCCAGUGGCGGGGCAGCUCUGGAGCCCUGGAUUCAGCUCCGGCAGGAACUCAGUCUGCAGGGCCUGGAGGCUCCGGGGCGGG